GAUGAACGCUAGCUACAGGCUUAACACAUGCAAGUCGAGGGGUAACGAGAGGAAAGCUUGCUUUCCUUGUCGACGACCAGCGCACGGGUGAGUAACGCGUAUCCAACCUGCCCCCAACUAGGGAAUAACCUUGCGAAAGUAAGACUAAUACCCUAUAAUUUCCUCAGAUGUCAUCUGACGAGGAAUAAAGAUUUAUCGGUUGUGGAUGGGGAUGCGUCUGAUUAGCUUGUUGGCGGGGUAACGGCCCACCAAGGCAACGAUCAGUAGGGGUUCUGAGAGGGAGGUCCCCCACAUUGGAAAUGAGACACGGUCCAAACUCCUACGGGAGGCAGCAGUGAGGAAUAUUGGUCAAUGGGCGGAAGCCUGAACCAGCCAAGUAGCGUGCAGGAUGACGGCCCUAUGGGUUGUAAACUGCUUUUAUACAGGAAUAAAGUUAGCCACGUGUGGUUAUUUGUAGGUACUGUAUGAAUAAGGACCGGCUAAUUCCGUGCCAGCAGCCGCGGUAA
rnacentral:rRNA from 1 species